GGUUGUGGCUCAGUGGUACAGCGCUUGCCUAGCAUGUGUGAGGCACUGGGUUCGAUCCCCGGAACCA
rnacentral:tRNA from 1 species